GUACUUACUUCAGCAGCAUAUAUGCUAAAAUUGGAAUGACAAAGAGAAGAUUAGCAUGGGCCCUGAACAAGGAUGACAUGCAAAUUCAUGAAACAUUCCAUAUUUUA